rnacentral:rRNA from 1 species
GACAGUGGUGCCAAGCGUUAGGCGGAAUCACUGGGCUUAAAGCGUGUGUAGGCGGAUCGUUAAGUACCUUGUGAAAUCCCACGGCUCAACCGUGGAACUGCUGGGUAUACUGGCGGUCUUGAGCCACCUAGGGGCAACUGGAAAAAGCGGUGGAGCGGUGAAAUGCGUAGAUAUCGCUUGGAACGCCAACGGUGAAAACAGGUUGCUGGGGGUGUGCUGACGCUGAGACACGAAAGCCAGGGGAGCGAACGGG